UCCCACGUGCCAACCUCUCCCUUUCCUUCUCUGUCUCUCUCCAGUCUCUCAUUGCUAAAUCCCAGGGACAUCCACCCUCGUUCCCUGUCCCCCUCCAGCCCUUUUCCAGGCUCCUCUUCCAGCCUUUCCUGACCUCUCUGCCUUUCUUUGUGCCCCAGAUGAGUUUCCUGCUCCCCCGAAGCCCCUGAAGGCCUCAGACCUGGAUGACGGGCUCGGAUUCCUGCCAACCUUCGGCCCCUGCUACAUCAACCUCUACGGGAGCCCCCGGGAAUUCACGGGAUUCCCCGACCCCUACGAGACCCUCAACCUGGGAAAGGGAGAGGGCGUUGCCUACCGUGGCAGGGUGCUGGUGGAGCUGGAGACCAAACUGGUGGAGCACCUGGAGCAGAAGGUGGAGGAUAUUCCAGCGGAUGACGUCCUGAGG